rnacentral:rRNA from 1 species
AUUGAACGCUGGCGGCAGGCCUAACACAUGCAAGUCGAACGAGCGGCGGACGGGUGAGUAAUGUCUGGGAAACUGCCAGAUGGAGGGGGAUAACUACUGGAAACGGUAGCUAAUACCGCAUACUAUCAGAUGUGCCCAGAUGGGAUUAGCUAGUAGGUGGGGUAACGGCUCACCAAGGCGACGAUCCCUAGCUGGUCUGAGAGGAUGACCAGCCACCAUGGAACUGAGACAGGGUCCAGACUCCUACGGGAGGCAGCAGGGGGGAAUAUUGCACAAUGGGCGCAAGCCUGAUGCAGCCAUGCCGCGGGUAUGAAGAAGGCCGUAGGGUUGUAAAGUACUUUCAGCGGGGAGGCGUUACCCGCAGAAGAAGCACCGGCUAACUCCGUGCCAGCAGCCGCGGUAAUUC